CCUACGGGCGGCAGCAGUGGGGAAUAUUGGACAAUGGGCGAAAGCCUGAUCCAGCCAUGCCGCGUGUGUGAAGAAGGCCUUCGGGUUGUAAAGCACUUUCAGUGGGGAAGAAAGCCUUGGGGCUAAUACCCUCGAGGAAGGACAUCACCCACAGAAGAAGCACCGGCUAACUCCGUGCCAGCAGCCGCGGUAAUACGGAGGGUGCGAGCGUUAAUCGGAAUUACUGGGCGUAAAGCGCGCGUAGGCGGUCUGAUAAGCCGGUUGUGAAAGCCCCGGGCUCAACCUGGGAACGGCAUCCGGAACUGUCAGGCUAGAGUGCAGGAGAGGAAGGUAGAAUUCCCGGUGUAGCGGUGAAAUGCGUAGAGAUCGGGAGGAAUACCAGUGGCGAAGGCGGCCUUCUGGACUGACACUGACGCUGAUGUGCGAAAGCGUGGGUAGCAAACAGGAUUAGAUACCCUAGUAGUC
rnacentral:rRNA from 1 species